UCAUAGAGUAAACUCUAGAAAUAUCAUCAUAUUCAUAGAAAAAAGUGAAAUUAGUAAAUUCUUUUUCCACCCUAGGUCAAUGGUUGGUGUUUUCUUUUAUAUUCUUAUGUUAUAUUUCAACAUUAUUAAAAAGAGGAAUUCACACAUUUGUUUAUAAGAUGACCAAGACAUUGUCAUUCUAACUUUGAACAAUAUUUCCAUGGGUU
rnacentral:lncRNA from 1 species